GAGGAUCAAACAAGGUCGAACCUGUUCCACCGUCGAAAUCGAUUCUCCUCGAUCUUUUAACUCCUGAACUCCGAUCUUCACUCUCCACUGAUUCUCAACUAGCAGUAUUAUAAAGAGACUGCUGGCAAUGGCCUUUUAAACUUUAGGCAUUAAAUAGAACUUCAUCUUUCAACUAAACUGCGUCAUAACAUUAAAUCACGCAGUGGCAUGAAGUCAACAUGGCAAAUCCAGCCACGAACUGCCCCUCCUCACAGGGAGGGGUCCUCCUUUUAUACCCUGUAAAAAAGCCUGUCACAUGUCCUCUACUGGCGGGAAAAUGAUGUCACUCCACCAUCACAAGACCAUUACCUCAAGUCCAGUAUAGUUUCAACAUCUGUCACGUGACAAGUACACCACUGUCACGUGUCACAGCGGCAAGAGGACGUGAUGCAAAACCUAUGGGGGCACUCCCUUCCAUCACUUCCAUAAGAUGUGACAUGACUGCAUCUAUACUAUGAGGUGAGAGGCCACAGGUUUCAAAAAUGUCUGAAGUGUCUCCUUUGUCUCACCGGAAAUAUUCUGCCAUGACAACAUUUUG